rnacentral:lncRNA from 1 species
GCUGCGUCUCCCGGCCACCGGGGCCGCGCGGCUCCCCUCCGCCGCCUCUUGCGCGCGCUGUGAGGCGGCGCACACCCGGGCAAACUCCAACCUGCGAGCCGCCGCUGCAGCCGGGCGCAUUGGUGCCUGGGCCGGGGAUGGAAGGCAGGGGAGCAAACGAGAAAGGACCCGGACCCGGGGAUUUGGACCCUGCGGCAAGUGGGGGUCGCGCAGGCGGGGCGUCCGCCCGUGCUGUGCGCGCAAAGCUGCUAGGGUUGGGGAAGGUGAGAGGAGCAGCCCCCCCACGCCCUUCCCCCUCCAUUCCUCUCCCCCCGCCCCCGGCUGCAUCCCCUUGACCGGCUCCUCAGCGAGUCUGAAGCUUGGCCUCCUCUGAGCCGAGAGGGUGGGGGUUAUAAUCACAUUGAGAAGCCAAACUUGUGUUCUCUAUUUGGCGAGAGGCGCUCGUCCCCAGCGGAAGGACAGAUGGAGUCAAAGGCCGAUGUACAGCUGGGGCUGGGAUGGCUGCAGAGAAGGGGGAAGGCGGAACUUGGAAAAACCUUUGAGAAACCCAGAGAAAUCUGUGACACACAUGGGGCAACCACGCUUUAUUAUGCCGUGCUACCACGCGGCGACGUGUGAGAGGCUUGUCACUCCCCUCUGCCACCGGGGAUAACGACAAUAGAUUCGGCGUGCGAACACUUUUUUUUAUGCAUUCAGCGCCAUCACAUCGCUUCCAGGAGGUUUCAAGAUGCUGAUUUAUGGGCAGGAAGAUGGUGCAACUAAGUCCUGUCGCCUCCCAGCGCCAGAGCCUCUGAGCAAGAAGUUUGCAGGAAGCUGAUCGAUUUCCUGGGACAAAGCAAAGGUCACUGAAAUACGUAUACAUAAUGUACAUGAUAAUAACUCCGAGCAAAAGAAAGCAAAGGAAAUACCCAGAGCCCUGCCAAUCCUCAAAUAUUCAGGGAGAAAAACACCUGGAUUCUCCCCAAGCCGCAGCUGUUCAGUUGGAAAAUGCCUGGAUCCCAUUGAAUCAAGAGAGUCAGGGAAAAGAGCCACAUCCCGCCCAGGGUGUCUCCUCGGUACAACAGGCACACGUGAAUCCUAUUUGAUCAAGACACGGUUAUUUUGGAAAUAAAUAGAUCCUGCUGGAUUCAAGCCCAGUUCACGAUGCACACGCGCAGAUGGGACACGCUGAGUACAAACAAUAUCUCUGAGAAACUCCCCCAACACACAGACUUUGGUAACCAAAACUUGUGCCACAGGACUUUGGCCAUGUUCAUAUCUUGGUUAUUUUUCUCACAGAGUAUAGGUGGAUCUGGUGGCACUGCUGCUUGAUUAAGUUUGCCUGGAUCACACCAGAGCUCAAUGCUUUGCCCUGAUUCUUUAGACGGAGCCCUGGGUGUCUGCAAAGAGAAAGGCAAAAUGGAGUGUCAGCCUUAUCUUUUGGUACAAUCAACAACACAGUAGCAUAAUCACAAUAGGAAUGUUCCAGGCCUUUCUGAACACAUGUGAAUUAAGGGAAAAAAAAAUUUAUCUCUAUCAUCACAAUUUACAUUUUGCACAUAUUUCCAUCUUUCUCUUGGACGUAAACAUCUUUUGUGUCUAAGACAUCAUUUUCAUUACUUUUUCCAAAAAUCUUUCAGCAAUUCGUGAUAAAAAGACAACUUCUGGUCCUGAAAUGAACCUGAAAAUAGGCAGAUAUUUACACAAAUCAAAUAAUCUUUGAAUUUACCUACUUUAAGGCAUACAGAGUUUUCUGAGAGCUACAAUAACUUAUGAGUUAAGCGAAUCAGUGCUUACUACUUUUAAAGAUGCUUUUUUUUUUUUUUUUUGCAUCCUCAGCGUAUGGAAGUUCCAAGGCUAGGGGUCUAAUCGGACCUGCAACUGCUGGCCUACACCACAGCCGCAUCAACUCAGGAUCUGAGCCAAGUCUGCAACCUAUACCACAGCUGACAGUAACGCCAGAUCCCUGACCCACUGAGCAAGGCCAGGGAUUGAACCUGUGUUCUCACGGAUACUAGUUGGGUUCGUUACCGCUGAGUCACAAUGGGAACUCCUAAAGAUGCUUUGUAGAUUGCAGGCUGGUGCUUUGAGAAGCCACAGACUUGGAGUUUGAGGGCUUAGAACUCUGAGGUCCUGGAAGGGUCUCUUCCACUCAGUAACAUCCCCCAGAAAACAGGAUUGCUGUCCCUGGAAAAAGGCCAUGUAGAAACUUUCCUGUGAAUUCAGCUGCUCCUCAAUUUUUUCCUCUAAACCACCAAUUUCUUAUUUCCCCUAUUUGUAUUCAGUGCAAAAAAAAAAAAAAAAAAAAAAAAAGAGAGAGAGAGAGAAAGAAAAAUAGAAGAAUGAAAUUCCGGAAGCUUUUGAUGCAAGAUGCAUUCAAUUAAAACACCAUAGUCCUGCAGUAAAGCAGGCCUGACUCUCACGGUCACCGAUCUCCACUCUGACCAUAGUACUGGAGUGUUUUAGCCAUCAGCUGGAUGCCAGGGUAGCUACAUCAGAACUUCACUGCCUUUGCAGCAGCAUCUCUUGAAAGACUGCUUCCUGUGUCUGCAGAUGAAUAUUUUUUCCCCCUCUAUCUUCGUGGGCUUUCAUCUCUGACUCUUUUAAUUUAUAAAUCCAGCUUCCGAGUUUUUGCUGUGUGCUUUAUCUUCAAGAUCUCCUUUGAAGGUCUCUCUGCACAUGUUUUUUUAUCCCCAGCCCACCUGCUUCACUUGUGGGUUUUAUUCACUAUUUUUCCCUUUGUUUAAUCCUUUCACUCUCCAAUCUAGGCAUAAUGCAGAAGCUAAAUGUAACAGCCAUUAAAAAUGCAGUAUAGAGAGUUCCCAUUGCAGCUCAGUGGAAACAAACACGACUAGUAUCCAUGAGGAUGCGGGUUCGAUCCCUGGCCUCCCUCAGUGGGUUAAAUGAUCCCAUGUUGCUGUGAGCUGUGGUGUAGGUCGAAGAGGUGGCCCGGAUCUGGCAUUGCGGUGGCCGUGGUAUAGGGCAGUGGCUACAGCUUCGAUUUGACCCCUAGCCUGGGAACUUCCACAUACUGUGGGCGCGGCCCCGAAAAGACAAAUGAAAAAAAAAAAGGCACCGUUAAAUGCUCAGAAGCAACCAGCAGCAAUCAGAGAGGCCAUUGCUCAUUUUGAGCAAGAGUGCAGUGUAGCCCUUGAGGGAAAAGGCCGAGUGAAGGAGUCCAGUAAUCCAGCUGUUCCUCUCCAACCACAAUACCAGCAGCGAAGACAUCGUCACAAAUCAGGGACUCUGAAGAAUUGUGAUGUCACCUUUCCCUGCUCCUUGAGAGACACCCUCCUAGUCCCCGUGUAGAAAUCGACAGAAGGAUCAAAGGACAAAAAGAAAGAUGCUGGAAAAUGGAUGUGGGAUGAGAGAUGGCAGCUGGGAAGAUACUAAGAUAUCUCUUAAUUGUGAAGCCAGCAACACAGAGGAACCCAGGAAACUCAGUGGCGCAACCUGUCCAGCCUAGAACUACAGCUGGUGCAACCAAAUACUCCAUUUGGAAUGUGGUUUAUAAGGAGCAAUGCAUCCAAAAUUCCAAGUGAGGAUUUCCAAGGGAAAUUUUAAUACCUGUAUUUAGACUUAGUAGCCCUGAGGGGAAAUUGGGUGUUGAUUUAUGAAGCUGAGAGCAAUUGCGAGCAGCUGGAAUAUUAAGGACACAUUGUCAGAGGGAGGCUUUCAUUUCCAAUUUGGACUGAACUUCCAGAACCUUUCAAAGCCAUGAUUUGGACUCAUAAGCUCUUAGAAGUCCCUAUCUAGUUAAUUUAGGAAGUGUUAUACCCAACCCUUGGACUGUUUGAUUGAUGGAGCAGUUAAAGCUGUAGCAGUUAAAGAUAAAUACAAAAAAGUAGUUAAAUUUUAUUACAUUUCAUUGGUUUUUCUUUAGACAUAACUUGCUAAAAAUAUAAUUUUUGAAAUCAAAAGACAUUUUAAAAGAAUAAUUGAAUAAAAAGAAAGUCUGAAAUCU